UACGGGGGGGGCAAGCGUUGUUCGGAAUUACUGGGCGUAAAGGGCUCGUAGGUGGCCAACUAAGUCGGACGUGAAAUCCCUCGGCUUAACCGGGGAACUGCGUCCGAUACUGGCGGGCUUGAAUCCGGGAGAGGGAUGCGGAAUUCCAGGUGUAGCGGUGAAAUGCGUAGAUAUCUGGAGGAACACCGGUGGCGAAGGCGGCAUCCUGGACCGGCAUUGACGCUGAGGCGCGAAAGCUAGGGGAGCAAACGGG
rnacentral:rRNA from 1 species